UUCUUAUUAGUUUAAUGGAAAAACAAGGUUCUCCUAAGACCUCUUUCUGGGUUCGAAUCCUGGAUAAGAAA
rnacentral:tRNA from 1 species